rnacentral:lncRNA from 1 species
GAUUUGAACUCUGGACCUUCGGAAGAGCAGUCGGGUGCUCUUACCCACUGAGCCAUCUCACCAGCCCAUUUUUGUUUCUUUUUGUUGUUGUUGUUUACUUGUUUAGUUUUUGAGGUUUCUCUGUGACAGUGUAUAUAUUUGUUUUCACUGCUACUUAGAGCAUACAGCCUGUUUAACUGUCACAUAACCUGUUUAACCCACUGAAGCAGAAUGAGGACAAAAGACUUAGGUGAAGCUGGGCGUGGUGGCGCAUGUCUUUAAUCCCAGCACUUGGGAGGCAGAGGCAGGCGGGUUUCUGAGUUCGAAGCCAGCCUGGUCUACAGAGUGAGUUCCAGGACAGCCAGGGCUACACAGAGAAACCCUGUCUCGCAACACACACACACACACACACACACACACACACUUAGGUGAAGUAACUUGUCCAAGGUCAGACAGAAGUUAAGUGUAAGGGCUAAGGCUUUGAAUCCAGGUUUGUCUGAUUACAGGGCCUAUGUUAUCUCCACCACACUGCCUCGACAAGAACUCUUCAAGCGCUAAUGGAAGUGUAAGUUGGUCUAAUGCUUGUUGAAUACUUACUGUAUCCUAGGUGCUUUACAUAAAUUCUAAUUUAGUGCUGACAGCAUCCUCUAAGGUACGUGUUAGCCUUCUGUGCGUCUGUGAACAUAGGCAGACUGACCUCUUUCUUUUUCAUGUAUUUCAUUGAGAGAAAGGGUUUCACUAUGCAGCACAGGCUAGUCUUGAAGUCACUAUUAAACGCAGUUAUCUGCCUCAGUGUUCCAAGUUCAGGAAUUAUAGGCACGUUCUUCCAUAGCCAGCACAUUGAAUGGAAUCAUUAACUAUCUCCAACAUUUAACUUCAUUACCUCUGAUUCUUCUCGAAUGUAGAAAUCCUAGGCUCUGUUCUAGACUUUAGAUUUAAGAAUGUUCUCUGGAAAAUGAGAAUUAUAUUUUAAUGAAAUUUCCCAGGAGAUUAUUACAACUAGGUUAAUUUCAGAUACUACAAAUAGUUUUAAAUACCCUAUAUAUUUAAUGAUUUUUGUGUCUCUAGAAAUGGUCUCUUCCUGUUUCCACGUGGAUCUUAUGUAGCUAUUAAAACUUAAAGAACUACCACAGCUGUCUGCUCAACUCCAUCCUCCUGUUCGAGAACAGUGGAGCACUGGCACUGCCCAGGUGGCUGAGGCGCUCUGCAGCUCCAUCCUUUCUGUCCUCAGCCAAGCUCCCUGUAGUGCCUAGUUGUAGUACCUAGUUGGCCUGCUGUUCUCCCUGGGGUCUGCUUUCCACGGCACAGUUGCAGUGUUCUCCUGCCGCGGCCUCCACACUGUGGGUCUUUUUUCCUCGGUCUGUCUCAGACCUUACAGUUCUCUUGUCUCUUUUCUGUGUAAAUGUGUGUCCCUUGCAUCUCUCCCGCAUUGAAUGUACUGGCCUGCCUUCUGUUGCUGUCUCUCUGUGGGAAGCCUUGUCCUCAUUUUCAUGGGACUGAGUUCUUGCCUUUUUUUUUACAUCCUAUCAAAUGUUACUUUCUCCUCCAUCUCCAUUGCCAUCCAGUCUAAUGUGACUGUCAAGUCACAUUUGUGAAGGAUACUCUGUGGUUUUUCUGUGUUCUCCAGGCUGGUCUUGAACACUUGGGUUCAAGUAAUCUUCCUGCCUCUGCUUUCUGUAUAGCUGUGACUGCAGGUCCAUGCCAUACCUUUGUGUUCAUGCCCUAGGGGCUGGCACCCAGGGCAUCUUCCAUGCUAAACACAAGGGCUUGUGUAUAUACAGUUCAUGUGUUUUCAUGGGCAUGUGUGGAGGCAGAGGUUUAUGUCAAGUGCCUUCCUUGAUGGUUAUCUUAAUUUUUACAGUUAUGUUUAUAUAUUUAUCUGUCUAUGGGCACAGUGUGUAUAUGCCAUAAUGUUUGGAGGUCAGAGGACAACUUGUGGUAGUUGGUUCUUCCUAUCUACCAUGAAGGUUCCAGAGAUCCAGUUCAGGUCAUCAGGCUUGGUGACAAGCCCCUUGACCAGCUGAGACAUGUCGACAGACCUUUUUUUUUUUUUUCCCCACCCUAUUUUUGAGACAGGGUACUGUACCUGGAACUAAUGAGUUUUGAUAGGCUAGCUGGACGGGAGUUCCAGGGGUCCACCCUGUCUCUGCCUUCCCUGGGGCGGGCUUAUGGCACUGGUUUUUACAGGGGUGUUAGGGGUCCUUAGGCGUCUGCAGCUAUCACUUUACUGACUGAGACUCUGCUUUUCUUUUUUUUUUUUUCAUUUCCCAUUUAAGCAACAACCAUCACCACCACAACAAAACAGAGCAAAAACAAAAACAAACCCAAAAACCACCGACCUUUAUUGUGUGUGUGUGUGUGUGUGUGUGUGUGUGUGUGUGUGUGUGUGUGUGUGGACAUCAGAGGACAAUUGCCACAGUUGCUUCUUCACCUAAGGAUUAAACUCGAGUCCUGAGGGACUAGCUGUCUUGCUGGUCUUCUUGGGUUUUUUGUUUGUUUGUUUGUUUGUUUGUUUUCGAGACAGGGUUUCUACGUAUAGCCCUGGCUGUCCUGGAACUUACUGUGUAGACCAGGCUGGCCUUGAACUCAGAAAUCUGCCUUCCUCUGCCUCCCAAGUGCUGGGAUUAAAGGCAUGAGCCCGGUUGUCCUCUUGUUUUUGAGAUAAGUUCUCUCUCUAUAAAGCUCUGACUUCCUGGAACUCAAUAUGUAGAUGAGGCUGGCCUUGAAAUCACAGAUGCCUCCUAAGUGCUGGGAUUAAAAUCAUGCUACAUAGCAAGGUUGAGGCCAGUCUGGGUUAUAAUGAGACAUGGUCUCAAAAAAAAAAAAAAAAAGUUAGAGCUCAAGACAUGGCUCAGCAGCUGAGAGUACACACUCCUCUUGCUGGGGACCUGAGUGUUUAGUUCCCAGCACCCAUGUAGUUAGAGCACACCUGCCUGUAUCUCCAGUUCCAAGCAGACCUGACCCUGCUACUUCUCCGGGCACUGUACACACUCAUGUGCAUAUACCCGUAUGUAUACACAUAAUGAAGGCAUCUUC